rnacentral:rRNA from 1 species
AGAGUUUGAUCCUGGCUCAGAAUCAACGCUGGCGGCGUGCCUCAGACAUGCAAGUCGAACGAUUAAAGCUCUCUUCGGAGAGUGCAUAGAGUGGCGCACGGGUGAGUAACACGUAAGUAAUCUACCUCUGAGUGGGGAAUAACGUUCGGAAACGGACGCUAAUACCGCAUAAUGCAGCGGCACCGCAAGGUGACAGUUGUUAAAGAUUUAUCGCUUAGAGAGGAGCUUGCGGCAGAUUAGCUAGUUGGUAAGGUAAUGGCUUACCAAGGCUACGAUCUGUAACCGGUCUUAGAGGACGGUCGGUCACACUGACACUGAAUAACGGGUCAGACUCCUACGGGAGGCAGCAGUCGGGAAUUUUGGGCAAUGGGCGAAAGCCUGACCCAGCAACGCCGCGUGAAGGAUGAAGUAUUUCGGUAUGUAAACUUCGAAAGAAUAGGAAGAAUCAAUGACGGUACUAUUUAUAAGGUCCGGCUAACUACGUGCCAGCAGCCGCGGUAAUACGUAGGGACCAAGCGUUGUUCGGAUUUACUGGGCGUAAAGGGCGCGUAGGCGGCGCGGUAAGUCACUUGUGAAAUCUCUGAGCUUAACUCAGAACGGCCAAGUGAUACUGCAGUGCUAGAGUGUGGAAGGGGCAAUCGGAAUUCUUGGUGUAGCGGUGAAAUGCGUAGAUAUCAAGAGGAACACCUGAGGUGAAGACGGGUUGCUGGGCCAACACUGACGC